GAUCUAUGGUUUUAACGACUAUUUUAUAAAUUGGAUCUCCUCGUAUUUGAAAGAUAGACGUUAGACGUUCCUAACGAGUGUUCAUGUUCAUUUGUUGCUAAUUCUGUUGUACCUUAGGGAAGUCAUCUUUGUUUUAUUUUAUUUUAUUUGUUUUAUUUAUAAACGAUCUGGUUUCGAUCGUACAAAAUUCGUCUGUCGUAAUAUACGAGUAUGCUGAUAACAUUAAAAUUUUUAAAAAAAUCAACUUUACAUCAGACUCUCUUUUCUUGUAAGAAGACUUAGAUAAUAAUAUGUAUAAUAUGCAGGAAAGAGUGCAAUAAUAAUUGUCUCGUUUUAAUGUUGAUAAAUGUAAAACCUUGUCGUGAGCGCAUGCUUGGAAUAGUGGUGCAUUAGUUGUCCGUGUUUGUUUACUCCUUUUGAUAAACUCAAUUCUAUUGUAGUUACCAAACGAAAACAAAAUUAUAACAGUAAAUAUUAAUAACUAACGUGCCGCGAGUGCAAACAAAAAUAACUAUCAAAUUAAUACCUACAUGACAAAGAAAAAAAGCAAUUCUGUACCCAUAUAAUUAAAAAAUAAAUACAACACAGCGUUCCGAAUGUGCUCCCCGCCUUCCCCGCUCUCCCCAUUCUAACUUCAAUCACAGUAACUUGAAUAGCUGCUGCGCGCACUGUCUGCUAAAUCAUUUAAUGUAGCAAAAGUCCAUAGUAUAAUAAAGAAUACAAGGUAUGCUUGACAGUUCUGGUCGACUGAAUCGUGACGUCAUUGCGAGUGAAUUUUCUUAUUUAUGAUUCUUAAGUGCUUAGUUAAUCCCUGGCCUAUUGUAUAUAUUUUGGUUGAAAAAAAAUUAUUACGUUUUAGAUGGCCAAACAUUUCAUGAAGAAAAAGUGCGAACGAUUAUUGAACGAAAAUUCUCAGGAUUUCAAUUGCUUGAAUUGAAAUUAUUUUGCGGUUAUUUGAUAAAUUUGAUCUUCUAUUAUUAAGAAUUAAAUUAAAUAAUGAAAUUCUAUUUAAACCAA